AAAUAGCCCGGCGCCGGCUUUGUGGUUCUCUUUCUGAGGACACUUCCGUGCGAAGUGUGGUUCUUUGGUAUUGCUCUGGUGGCUGCUGCGCAACCCCUAAACGAGGGGAUGGGUGGCUGGCCCCGGCGCCCUGGUCAUCUUUGAGCAGCCGACUGCGGGCCCCAUAUUCUCCCAGGAGGGUCUACAGCGCCACGAAGGGCUUUGAGACGUCCACCGGUGUGUUAUCCUUGAGUAAAGCAUGAGCUCUAAGAGCCCAGCCAGGGGCAUGCCCCUUCAUAGAGAUUCACCAUUAACCUGAUGACUGAAGGCCUAUGGUUACUCCUCUUGGAGAAGUGCUGUUGAGAUGGCUGGAAUGCCUAGGUGAUGGUUUCUGCCACUUAAGGUUAUGACAAGAGCCAUGGUCCUUCUAUCUGGCUUACUGUGGAUUUUGCCGUCAAAGGAUGCCCUCUUGUCUCGUGUUGGGCAGAUCCCAG